UACGGAGGGUGCGAGCGUUGUUCGGAAUCACUGGGCGUAAAGGGCGUUUAGGCGGUCUGUUAAGUCUGAUGUGAAAGCCCGGGGCUCACCCCCGGAAGUGCAUUGGAUACUGGCGGACUCGAGUCCCGGAGAGGAGGGUGGAAUUCCUGGUGUAGCGGUGAAAUGCGUAGAUAUCAGGAGGAACACCGGUGGCGAAGGCGGCCCUCUGGACGGUGACUGACGCUGAGACGCGAAAGCGUGGGGAGCAAACAGG
rnacentral:rRNA from 1 species